AAUAAGCUAUUUAAGAGCGUAAGGUGGAUGCCUUGGCUCUCAGAGGCGAUGAAGGACGUGAUAAGCUGCGAUAAGCUGCGGGGAUUGGCACACACAAUUUGAUCCGUAGAUUUCCGAAUGGGGCAACCCACUAUAUUGAAGAUAUAGUAUCCGUUAAGGAAGCAAACCCAGGGAACUGAAACAUCUAAGUACCUGGAGGAAUAGAAAACAAAAGUGAUUCCGCUAGUAGUGGCGAGCGAACGCGGAUCAGCCCAAACCAAAAUUGUUUCGGCAAUUUUGGGGUUGUAGGACCACGAC
rnacentral:rRNA from 1 species